GUGUAGUCAAUUAGCUGAUUGUACUCCUUUCCUCAUGCGGGCCUGGUGUGCAAUGGCUGCAAACAGAAGCUUACUCGGUAGUGUAUGCAGCCUGUGUCUUAUGUGAGUUGCCCUAAGGGACUUCGGAGACAGCC
rnacentral:snoRNA from 1 species